UUUGUAAUUAUUUGUCUCACCUACACUAAAUGUUUUUAUUAUGGUCGAUGUGUAUUCUACAAAGCAGACACUACUGCGCAACGUAGCGUAAUGUCAUUAAUGUUUUUUGGUAAUCUACUGUAUUUGUAGUAUUUUCUCACCCAGCUAAAUGUUUUAAUUUGAAGGAAUAAAAGAGUUCAUUGCUGUUAUUGUAUGUACUCCGGCUACCUUUUUGACGUUCUGUCUUUUCCUAGUUUUUUUUUUGUGUAGAUUUUACGUAGCAGUUAGACAAAAAUGGCAGCAGAGCGUACAGCCAAUCCUUCAUGGAGCAAUUUACAGCUACGAUUGGAUUCAGGUGUGACAGAUAUACCUGAAGAAAGGGAAUCAACCGGAAAUAGAACCGCCCGUUAUCAGCCGACAACAGAUUCUGUAAUACGAACUGUACAUACCUCCCAGCCUGAUUCGAAGCUACCGGUGCAGGAAGGUGGCGGGUUUGGGUGUGGAGAAUCGUGUGGCUGCUGUGGCCUUGGUGAAUCAUGUUCCUGUAGAUGUUGUUAAGAGUAGCAGCAAGUUGACGUCCGCACGUUUCGUUUCCUUUGUUCUUUACCAUGGACCACCAAAUUCAGUAGCUUUCGUCACUUGUUAAAUUUAUUAUGGAAUCAGACUCGCUUGUCUUAGUCUUGGAGUUCUCGUGUCUUAUUUGUUAGCCUCUAAGUUUCAACUGCAUUUCUGCUGUUAGCAGUAAAAAUCUGUUUAGGUAGGAUUUGUUUCAUUUGUUUGUAACGUUCUCAGUUCUCUUGAUUGGUGAGUAGCCGUACUUACUACUCACUUCAUUAAUUAUGGCUAUCAAUCACUUCGGUCGUUUUCAUUUCGACCAUGCUCA